CGAGUGCUGCGGGGUUUGGCAGGAGAUACUUUUCCCCGGGGCCUUAUCGAUCCUUAAGGGAGCUGUCCCUGGCCGGGCCCGUGGGCCUGGACAUACGGCGCCCACCUACUCUGUAGGUCUCCGGGAUCGACACCUCCACCGGCUCAGCGGCCUCGC
rnacentral:other from 1 species